rnacentral:misc_RNA from 1 species
GGCAAAGGGGAGUAACUUUUCCGCCAGCUAAUCGUCAUUACGAUGCGUUCCGCAUCCGGUUACUGGGCAACUUUGAUGAAAAGCUUGAUUCUUAAUGAAACAGCUUCAUUAACGUUGUAAGUGAGACCUUGCCGGGAGGCGAGGUGCAUUUGCAGCUUUAAUAACAAGCGGCCAGCGUCCUUCCGAUGUUGGCCGUUUUU